rnacentral:rRNA from 1 species
UGAACGCUGGCGGCAGGCCUAACACAUGCAAGUCGAGCGGUAGAGAGAAGCUUGCUUCUCUUGAGAGCGGCGGACGGGUGAGUAAUGCCUAGGAAUCUGCCUGGUAGUGGGGGAUAACGUUCGGAAACGGACGCUAAUACCGCAUACGUCCUACGGGAGAAAGCAGGGGACCUUCGGGCCUUGCGCUAUCAGAUGAGCCUAGGUCGGAUUAGCUUGUUGGUGGGGUAAUGGCUCACCAAGGCGACGAUCCGUAACUGGUCUGAGAGGAUGAUCAGUCACACUGGAACUGAGACACGGUCCAGACUCCUACGGGAGGCAGCAGUGGGGAAUAUUGGACAAUGGGCGAAAGCCUGAUCCAGCCAUGCCGCGUGUGUGAAGAAGGUCUUCGGAUUGUAAAGCACUUUAAGUUGGGAGGAAGGGCAGUAAAUUAAUACUUUGCUGUUUUGACGUUACCGACAGAAUAAGCACCGGCUAACUCUGUG